rnacentral:rRNA from 1 species
UACAGAGGGGGCAAGCGUUGUUCGGAAUUACUGGGCGUAAAGCGUGCGCAGGCGGUGAUGUAAGACAGAUGUGAAAUCCCCGGGCUCAACCUGGGAACUGCAUUUGUGACUGCAUCGCUGGAGUGCGGCAGAGGGGGAUGGAAUUCCGCGUGUAGCAGUGAAAUGCGUAGAUAUGCGGAGGAACACCGAUGGCGAAGGCAAUCCCCUGGGCCUGCACUGACGCUCAUGCACGAAAGCGUGGGGAGCAAACAGG